CCGCAAUGCCGUGACACAUUCAGUAACAUACAUACUAUUAUAAUAUACAAUGUACAGUAUUUUAGUUAUAAAAUAUCCCAACAGUCCAUUUCCUGUCUGUGUGGUAUUUCUGAGUAAAGGAUUAUACAAAACAAGUCCUGAUUAAUGAGGAUCUACAAGAGAGUCUUCCCUCACCUCUUUUUUGUUGUGUUUUUUUUUCCCCUUUUCUGAUGGAGGAAGGGACUGUCAGGGGGAGGGGGAGACAUCCCACAUUGGAAAAGGUUAACCCAUAAAAAGCCAAAAAAAAAAAGGCAAGUAUCUAUUCUGCAGUAUAAACAUGAAUCACUGCAGAAAGUGUAAGCACACACCCAGACAUGCAAUUCAUACUCGAAAUAUGGGAUCUCACUGUAGCUGUGUGUAUAAACGCAAUGCUUGUGGCUAGAGAACAUUAGAAACAGUAUGAGUAAAAUUUAACAAACUGACAAACAUUCCAAUUGAUAGCAAAUAACGAAUGUUCCAAUUCAGAGGCUGACGUGGUUUCAAUAAAUUCCAGCUUGCAUUUGUAAGAGGAAUAAGGGCUUGCAGGGAAAAGACACUGCAGCAGCACCAGCAGAGACAUUCCUUGCAUAAGCAAAAAUCAUCUGUUCCCCUUCCUUUGAAAACCACAGCGGCCGCUCCAGAAGUGCUGACCGCCUCUGGAGAGAGAGAGAGAGAGAGAGAGAGAGAGAAAAUCCUCACAGUUAACUCUUUCCUUGCCAGGUAGUGUAUGGCAUCCCAGUGGUGAGCAAUGGUUUAG